GACGAACGCUGGCGGCGUGCUUAACACAUGCAAGUCGAACGGAAAGGCCCUGCGCUUGUGGGGUGCUCGUGUGGGGAACGGGGGAGUAACACGCGAGUAAACUGCACUUAUCUGUGGGAUAACUUCAGGAAACAGGGGCGAAUACAGGGGAGGAGAUACUGCAGCGUGGGGGGGGUUGGAGAAUGUCGGCGGUUGGGGCUGGAUUAGCGGCUUAUCAGCUGGUUGGGCGGGUAGGGGCUUACCAGGUCUUUGAAGGGUAGCCGGCCUGAGAGGGUGAACGGCAACAUGGCGACUGCGAGACGGACCAGACGGCUACGGGAGGCAGUAGGCGGGAAUAUUGCAGAAUGGGCGCACGCCUGAUGUAGCAGUGUCGCGAGCGGGAUGCCGUGUUUCGGGGUGUAAACCGCUUUCUCCGUUGAUGAAGCGGGAGUGACGGUAAUGGGUAAAGAAGCACCGGCUAACUACGUG
rnacentral:rRNA from 1 species